rnacentral:Y_RNA from 1 species
GGUUGGCCCAAGUGCAGUGGUGUUUACAACUAAUUGAUCACAGCCAGUCACAGAUUUCUUUGUUCCUUCUCUAUACACACUCCCACUGCUUCACUUGACUAGCUUUUU